GACGGAGGAUGCAAGUGUUAUCCGGAAUCACUGGGCGUAAAGCGUCUGUAGGUGGUUUAAAAAGUCCACUGUUAAAGGUUGAAGCUUAACUUCAAAAAUGCUGUGGAAACUUUUAAACUAGAGUAUGGUAGGGGUAGAGGGAAUUUCCAGUGGAGCGGUGAAAUGCGUAGAGAUCAGGAAGAACAUCGGUGGCGAAGGCGCUCUGCUGGACCAUAACUGACACUCAGGGACGAAAGCUAGGGGAGCGAAUGGG
rnacentral:rRNA from 1 species